rnacentral:tRNA from 1 species
AGGGGAAUGGCUUGUUGGUAGAGCACAUGCUUAGCAUGCAUGAAGUCCUGGGUUUAGUCCCUAAUACCUCCA